CUCAAAGGAAUUGACGGGGGCCCGCACAAGCGGAGGAGCAUGUGGUUUAAUUCGAUGAUACGCGAGGAACCUUACCAGGGCUCGAACGCAGGGGGGAUAUACCUGAAAGGGUAUAGCCAGCGAUGGUCGCCUGCGAGGUGCUGCAUGGUUGUCGUCAGCUCGUGCCGUGAGGUGUCAGGUUAAGUCCUAUAACGAGCGCAACCCCUAUCCAUAGUUGCCAGCGGGUAAAGCCGGGGACUCUAUGGGAACUGCCUGCGCAAGCAGAGAGGAAGGAGGGGAUGACGUCAAAUCAGCACGGCCCUUAUGUCCUGGGCUACACACGUGCUACAAUGGUCGGUACAGAGGGCAGCGACCACGUGAGUGGGAGCCAAUCCUUAAAAGCCGAUCUCAGUUCGGAUUGGAGUCUGCAACCCGACUCCAUGAAGUUGGAUUCGCUAGUAAUCGCGCAUCAGCCAUGGCGCGGUGAAUACGUUCCCGGCCCUUGUACACACCGCCCGUCAAGCCAUGGGAGCUGG
rnacentral:rRNA from 1 species